rnacentral:lncRNA from 1 species
CAAAAGCUUCAAGGAGGAGAAUGUUGAUUAUUGAAGACUUUUGGUUUUCUCCACAUGAUGAAAUAUGAAGAGUGUUAGAGAGGAAGAUGAAGAGUGUUGGAGAGGAAGAUGAAGAGAUGGAUGCAUUCACCAUCAUUAUUAGUCAUUAUUAUUCUUCGUAAUUGUGUGACUCUUAGUAGUCUUAUGCUAUCCUAUAAAUAGGUUUGUCAUGUACUCAAAUC